rnacentral:rRNA from 1 species
UCGCCUACAUGAAGUCGGAAUUGCUAGUAAUCGCGGAUCAGCAUGCCGCGGUGAAUACGUUCCCGGGCCUUGUACACACCGCCCGUCACACCAUGGGAGUCGGUAACACCCGAAGCCUGUAGUCUAACCGCAAGGGGGACGCAGUCGAAGGUGGGAUUGAUGACUGGGGUGAAGUCGUAACAAGGUAGC